GGUAACCGUCUCACAUCCAAGGGCUCGCGGUACGGAACGCUACGCCACUACUCGCUCGAGUGACAGACAAACUCAAGUCUGCAUAUCACCUGGAGUCAGCUGAUGGAUCUUUGGCUCAAGUUUUUGUGUGAAUGGUGCUAGAAGUGUUCCAGUGACAGAGUGAAUGUGGCAAUGCAAGACCUGCCCUUCAGUUUUUCCAAGUAGGUCUGAUAUUCUGAAGCACUAUCGAGUCAGACAUAGACAUUAC